GGGCCCGUGGUGUAUGUAGUAACAUACUGUUCUUGAUACACAGUGAACCGGGUGCGAAUCCCGGCGGGUCCA
rnacentral:tRNA from 1 species